rnacentral:rRNA from 1 species
GACGAACGCUGGCGGCGUGCUUAACACAUGCAAGUCGAACGGAAAGGCCCUGCUUGCAGGGUACUCGAGUGGCGAACGGGUGAGUAACACGUGGGUGAUCUGCCCUGCACUUCGGGAUAAGCCUGGGAAACUGGGUCUAAUACCGGAUAGGAGCCAUUUUUAGUGUGAUGGUUGGAAAGUUUUUUCGGUGUAGGAUGAGCUCGCGGCCUAUCAGCUUGUUGGUGGGGUAAUGGCCUACCAAGGCGGCGACGGGUAGCCGGCCUGAGAGGGUGGACGGCCACAUUGGGACUGAGAUACGGCCCAGACGCCUACGGGAGGCAGCAGUGGGGAAUAUUGCACAAUGGGCGCAAGCCUGAUGCAGCGACGCCGCGUGGGGGAGGACGGCCUUCGGGUUGUAAACUCCUUUCGCUAGGGACGAAGCUUUUUGUGACGGUACCUAGAUAAGAAGCACCGGCUAACUACGUG